AUUGGAGUCCCCCUGUGGUAAAUUAUUUUUGAUUGGACAUGAUUUGGAAAGGCACAAUCCUGUCUAUAUAAGGUCCCACAGUUCAUGUCAGAGCAAAAACCAAGCCGUGAGGUUGAAGGAAUUGUCCGUAGAGCUCCGAGACAGGAUUGUGUUGAGGCACAGAUCUGGGAAAGGGUCCCAAAAAAAGUCUGCAGCAUUGAAGGUCCCAAGAACACAGUGGCCUCCAUCAUUCUUAAAAUGUAAGAAGUUUGGAACCACCAAGACUCUUCCUAGAGCUGGCCGCCCGGCCAAACUGAGCAAUCGAUGGAGACACGUCAGGAUCGAGGGAAAGAUAAACAGAGAAAAGUACAGAGAGAUCCUUGAUGAAAACCUCAGACUUGGGCAAAGGUUCACCUUCCAACAGGACAACACGACCUUAAGCACACAGCCAAGACAACGCAGGAGUGGCUGCGGGACANNNNNNNNNNNNNNNNNNNNNNNNNNNNNNNNNNNNNNNNNNNNNNNNUGGGGUAUUGUGAUGUCAUUGUGGGGUACUGUGAUGUCAUUGUGGGGUACUGUGUGUAGAUUGAUGAGGGGAAAAAAACAUAACGUAACAAAACAUGGAAAUAUCAAGGGGUCUGAAUACUUUCUAAUCCACUGUGUCUCAACUGUCCAGUUGCAAAAACUACAGAACAAAUACUCCUCCACUAGCAUGGUCUCAGAUCUGGUUGUGGUCUCCGAUCUGGUUGUGGUCUCAGAUCUGGUUGUGGUCUCAGAUCUGGUCUCAGAUCUGGUUGUGGUCUCAGAUCUGGUUGUGGUCUCCGAUCUGGUUGUGGUCUUUUUCACAUUGCUCAUUGUCAAGCCAAUGAGUGACAAGGAGUUGGCAUGAUAUCACAAACAGACUGGCACUCCAGCUACUCAUCCACUACUAUACAUAUGGAAAUCAAAGUUUGAUACCAAAAAGUGCAAUAACCUCUUUAGGAAAAAGUGUAAAUAUCGCCGGUUUCUACAUGUAGGUUAGAAAACACAAUUUAGAUUGCAAGGGUGGGAUUGAAACUUCUCUUUUACAGUAAAUGCCAGUUCAGUAUUCACUGGUGCAUUCAUGAUACAACUACUCCCCCUGCCGGAUAUUCACUGCAAGUUCAGGCCUCCAUGUUGAUUUU
rnacentral:lncRNA from 13 species